rnacentral:rRNA from 1 species
AGAGUGGCGCACGGGUGAGUAACGCGUGGGGACCUACCUCUUAGUGGGGGAUAACGGUUGGAAACGACCGCUAAUACCGCAUACGCCCUUCGGGGGAAAGAUUUAUCGCUAAGAGAUGGACCCGCGUUGGAUUAGAUAGUUGGUGAGGUAACGGCUCACCAAGUCAGCGAUCCAUAGCUGGUUUGAGAGGAUGAUCAGCCACACUGGGACUGAGACACGGCCCAGACUCCUACGGGAGGCAGCAGUGGGGAAUAUUGGACAAUGGGGGCAACCCUGAUCCAGCCAUGCCGCGUGAGUGAAGAAGGCCUUCGGGUUGUAAAGCUCUUUCAGAUGCGAAGAUGAUGACGGUAACAUCAGAAGAAGCCCCGGCUAAUUUCGUGCCAGCAGCCGCGGUAAUACGAAAGGGGCUAGCGUUGUUCGGAUUUACUGGGCGUAAAGGGCACGCAGGCGGUCUUGCCAGUCAGGGGUGAAAGCCCGAGGCUCAACCUCGGAACUGCCUCUGAUACUGUAAGACUUGAGACUAGGAGAGGGUGGUGGAAUUCCCAGUGUAGAGGUGAAAUUCGUAGAUAUUGGGAGGAACACCAGAGGCGAAGGCGGCCACCUGGACUAGAUC